CCCGCACAAGCGGUGGAGCAUGUGGUUUAAUUCGACGAUACGCGAAGAACCUUACCUGGCCUUGACAUAGACAGAAUUUUCCAGAGACGGAGAAGUGCUAGUUUACUAGAACUGUCAUACAGGUGCUGCACGGCUGUCGUCAGCUCGUGUCGUGAGAUGUUGGGUUAAGUCCCGCAACGAGCGCAACCCUCGUGUUUAGUUACUAACAGUUCGGCUGAGGACUCUAAACAGACUGCCUGGGUAACCAGGAGGAAGGUGAGGACGACGUCAAGUCAUCAUGGCCCUUACGGCCAGGGCUACACACGUGCUACAAUGGGGUAUACAAAGAGCUGCAAUACGGUGACGUGGAGCAAAUCUCAUAAAAUAUCUCCCAGUUCGGAUUGAAGUCUGCAACUCGACUUCAUGAAGUUGGAAUCGCUAGUAAUCGUAGAUCAGCAAUGCUACGGUGAAUACGUUCCCGGGUCUUGUACUCACCGCCCGUCACACCAUGGGAAUUGAAUUCAUUCGAAGCGGGGAUGCUAAAAUAGCUACCUUCCACAGUGGAUUUAGUAACUAGGGUGAAGUCGUAACAAGGUA
rnacentral:rRNA from 1 species